UUUAAUUUUUCUAGUAAUUCAAUUUUAAGUGAAUUUUAUUCACUUUAACUUAACUAUGUAUUAAUUUUAAAAUAUUGAUAAUUUUUGUUAAAUUAACUUUAUUUAUACAGUUAAUGUCAUUUAAUUUACAUUAAAGGCUCUCUGACAUUGGUAUUUCGCAAAGAAAAUAUGUUGAAAACAAUGUGAGUUGCAAACAUAAUGUUGAAAUAAUCAAAUCUGCAAUACUUCACAUACACAGCCAUAAUAAUAGUUAACAACAAUCAAAAAGAUGAUUGGGCAAAUUUUCACGAAGUGGCUAUCUCGUGCACGGAUUAAGAUGGGCGGUCAAGUGUACGUGCACGAAGGUUCUAUUCAAUACGCCAAUUAUAAACUGCACAAGACAGAAAACAUAUUUGGUUAUACUAAAUAUAUAAAAAUUUAAAUACAAUAUCAAGAGGAGUGGAAGGCGGUGUCGGUGGCGGCAAAAACUCUUGAAUAGUUGUAAUGCCAAGAAGAAAAAGAAGUUAUGAAAAUUGAAAAAUUAAAUUUUUGCCACUCAUCAGCUUUUGGAUAUGUACCACAGAUAUACAGAAUGAUUUCUAAGCUAUGCCUCGCACAAGUAUAAAACAUAUUUAACUUUUUUAUCUUUUUAAAAGUUAACAAUAUCCUAUUUACUAUACUUUUCAAAAAAAAAAUUAGUACGGCUAAUAAGUGCUAGAGAUUAAAAUUAAUAGUCUCUUGCUUUACUUCCAGACAUUAUAAUAAAGUGCUAAUAAUUUCGAAAAUACUAGUUCAAAAGUUAAAAAAAUAUUAUUGUGAACAUCUUUACUUACAGUAGAUAACAAAAUGGCUUCCUUUUAUAUUUCGUUUUCGAUUACAUUUGACAAAAAGAAAUUUAUCAAAUUUGAUUUGAAAAUGGCUACACACAUUUCUGAUUCUAAUUGGCCCCUUUACCUUAAAUUUGACUAGAACUCAUCGAUGUUUUCGUAAUAGUCAUUUUAGUACAUAAUAGAAAUUUUAA